AUUGAACGCUGGCGGCAUGCCUUACACAUGCAAAUCGAACGGUAACGGGCCUUCGGGUGCCGACGAGUGGCGAACGGGUGAGUAAUACAUCGGAACGUGCCCGAUCGUGGGGGAUAACGAGGCGAAAGCUUUGCUAAUACCGCAUACGAUCUACGGAUGAAAGCAGGGGACCGCAAGGCCUUGCGCGGACGGAGCGGCCGAUGGCAGAUUAGGUAGUUGGUGGGAUAAAAGCUUACCAAGCCGACGAUCUGUAGCUGGUCUGAGAGGACGAUCAGCCACACUGGGACUGAGACACGGCCCAGACUCCUACGGGAGGCAGCAGUGGGGAAUUUUGGACAAAGGGCGCAAGCCUGAUCCAGCCAUGCCGCGUGCAGGAUGAAGGCCUUCGGGUUGUAAACUGAUUUUGUACGGAACGAAAAGCCUUCUUUUAAUACAGGAGGGUCAUGACGGUACCGUAAGAAUAAGCACCGGCUAACUACGUG
rnacentral:rRNA from 1 species